rnacentral:rRNA from 1 species
ACGGCUCAGUAACACGUGGACAACCUGCCCUUAGGUUGGGUAUAAACCCGGGAAACUGGGUAUAAUACCCGAUAGGUCUCGAUUGCUGGAAUGCAUCGAGAUUUAAAGCUCCGGCGCCUAAGGAUGGGUCUGCGGCCUAUCAGGUAGUAGUGGGUGUAGCGUACCUACUAGCCUACGACGGGUACGGGUUGUGAGAGCAAGAGCCCGGAGAUGGAUUCUGAGACACGAAUCCAGGCCCUACGGGGUGCAGCAGGCGCGAAAACUUUACAAUGCUGGCAACAGCGAUAAGGGAACCUCGAGUGCCAGGUUACAAAUCUGGCUGUCGAGAUGCCUAAAAAGCAUUUCAUAGCAAGGGCCGGGCAAGACCGGUGCCAGCCGCCGCGGUAACACCGGCGGCUCGAGUGGUAACCGUUAUUAUUGGGUCUAAAGGGUCUGUAGCCGGCCGGAUAAGUCUCUUGAGAAAUCUGGCAGCUUAACUGUCAGGCUUUCAGGAGAUACUGUCUGGCUCGAGGCCGGGAGAGGUGAGAGGUACUUCAGGGGUAGGGGUGAAAUCUUGUAAUCCUUGAAGGACCACCAGCGGCGAAGGCGUCUCACCAGAACGGACCUGACGGCAAGGGACGAAAGCUAGGGGCACGAACCGGAUUAGAUACCCGGGUAGUCCUAGCCGUAAACGAUACUCGCUAGGUGUCGGCCACGGUGCGACCGUUGUCGGUGCCGUAGGGAAGCCGUGAAGCGAGCCACCUGGGAAGUACGGCCGCAAGGCUGAAACUUAAAGGAAUUGGCGGGGGAGCACCACAACGGGUGGAGCUUGCGGUUUAAUUGGAUUCAACGCCGGAAAUCUUACCGGGACCGACAGCAAUAUGAAGGCCAGGCUGAAGACUUUGCCGGAUUAGCUGAGAGGUGGUGCAUGGCCGUCGUCAGUUCGUACUGUGAAGCAUCCUGUUAAGUCAGGCAACGAGCGAGACCCCCGCC